GAGGGUGUAGCUGAGUGGUAGAGCGCGUGCUUAGCAGGCACAAGGCCCCGGGUUCCAGCCCCAGUGCCUCCA
rnacentral:tRNA from 1 species